AGAGUUUGAUCCUGGCUCAGGAUAAGUCGUAACAAGGUAACCAUGCUAGAGUUUGAUCCUGGCUCAGGAUAAGUCGUAACAAGGUAACCAUGCUAGAGUUUGAUCCUGGCUCAGGAUAAGUCGUAACAAGGUAACCAUGCUAGAGUUUGAUCCUGGCUCAGAACGUACGCUGGCGGCACGCCUUAUACAUGCAAGUCGAACGAAGUAGCAAUACUUAGUGGCAGACGGGUGAGUAACAUGUGGGUAUCUUCCCUAUGGUGAGGGAUAACACGAGGAAACUUGUGCUAAUACCUCAUAAGUCUUUACGGAGAAAGCUUUAUGCGCCAUUGGAUGAGCCCGCACUUGAUUAGUUUGUUGGUAGGGUAAUGGCCUACCAAGACAUAGAUCAAUAGCUGAUUUGAGAGGAUGAUCAGCCACAUUGGGACUGAGACACGGCCCAAACUCCUACGGGAGGCAGCAGUAAGGAAUCUUGCGCAAUGGAGGAAACUCUGAUGCAGCGAUGCCGCGUGAGUGAAGAAGGCCUUUGGGUUGUAAAGCUCUUUCGCCGGGGAAGAAAAUGACUGUACCGAAUAAGAGUCCAGCUACUUCGUGCAAGCAGCCGCGGUAAUACCAACGGACUAGCGUAGUCGGACUACUGGGCUAAAGAGUCGUAGGUGGCUAAAAAAAGUGGUGGUGAAAUCCCAGAGCUUAACUCUGGAACUGCCAUCAAAACUUUUUAGCUAGAGUGUGAUAGAGGAAAGCAGAAUUUCUAGUGUAGAGGUGAAAUUCGUAGAUAUUAGAAAGAAUACCAAUUGCGAAGGCAGCUUUCUGGAUCAUUACUGACACUGAGGAACGAAAGCAUGGGUAGCGAAGAGGAUUAGAUACCCUCGUAGUCCAUGCCGUAAACGAUGUGUGUUAGACGUUGGAAAUUUAUUUUCAGUGUCGCAGCGAAAGCGAUAAACACACCGCCUGGGGAGUACGACGCAGUAAAACUCAAAUGAAUGGACGGGACCCGCACAGUAUGAGCAUGUGGUUUAAGUCGAAGAUACCCGCAGAAACUUACCAACACUUGACAUGUUCGUCGCGACUCUAAGAGAUUAGAGUUUUCGGUUCGGCCGGACGAAACACAGGUGCUGCAUGGCUGUCGUCAGCUCGUGUCGUGAGAUGUUGGGUUAAGUCCCGCAACGAGCGCAACCCUCACUUUUAGUUGCCAUCAUUUAGUUGGGCACUCUGAAAGAACUGCCAGUGAUAAGCUGGAGGAAGGUGGGGAUGACGUCAAGUCCUCAUGGCCCUUACGUGUUGGGCUACACACGUGCUACAAUGGUAUCUACAAUAGGAAGCAAGAUGGCGACAUCAAGCAAAUCCUAAAAAGAUACCUCAGUUCGGAUUGCACUCUGCAACUCGAGUGCAUGAAGCUGGAAUUACUAGUAAUCGCGGAUCAGCGCGCCGCGGUGAAUACGUUCCCGGGUCUUGUACACACCGCCCGUCACACCAUGGGAGUUGGUUCUACCUUAAGGCAAAGUUUAAAACCUUUGACCACGGUAUAGUCAGCGACUGGGGUGAAGUCGUAACAAGGUAACC
rnacentral:rRNA from 1 species